GUGAGCGACAGAUUUAACAACAUGGUAGUUUUGUGUUUUUGUAAAAGAAAAAGAGUAUGGUAGAGGAGAAUAGAACACCACAGAAACAAUGCGCGCCAUUCCAGUUUCCUCAGAAUCAUACUCGGGUUUUCUAUUCCCUCAACCACUCGCUUCCUUUUCCCCUAACUCCAUUCCCAUAACCCACUCCUCUCUCUUCUUCUUCCACCCUUUUCAUUUCAAGAUCCAUCAUUCACUAUCCUUUCCCAAACCCUGCUCCUCCAAGUCCACACCUUUCUUGUGCACUGCUGCUUCAGAACCCGACCCCAUCACUUUGGGUGAUGUGGGGGUUGAAGAGUCGGAAGAGUCCUUAGUUGAUGAUGGGGUGUGCGUAGAGGUGAUGAAACUGGACAAGAACUCGCGCAGAAUCGAAUCGACAAUUUCCAUUGAAGCUUCUCUUUCUUCCAUUUGGAACAUCUUGACCGAUUACGAGAGGUUGGCUGAUUUCAUUCCUGGCCUAGUUGUCAGCCAGUUGCUCCAAAAGGGUGACAAUUAUGCCCGUCUUUUGCAGAUUGGACAGCAAAAUAUAGCAUUUGGGGUAAAAUUCAAUGCUAAAGGAAUUGUAGAUUGUUAUGAGAAAGAAUUGGAGACUCUUCCUACUGGUAUUAAGCGUGAAAUUGAAUUCAAGAUGAUUGAAGGAGAUUUUCAACUCUUUGAAGGAAAAUGGUCUAUUUUUCAGAAAGAACAAAGGCGAAAAUGGACAAGAAGGAUAGCAAGGGACAGAGUGGAGAAGGCUUUGCAAUAUUCUUACAGAACCAAAGGAUCAAUGCUGUCACAAGUGUUCAUGGGCUAUGUUUUCUCACUUCUUUUCUUCUCUUACUAAUCCAUAAUCUUUUACAAUUCAGUACAAGAUAAAAAAUCCAUAAUAUUUCUAGUUUCUUGCUUUCUUUCUUUUUGUUUCAUUGCUUUUUUCCUUUUUUUUUUUAAUUUUUGCGUUCUUUCUUGUUAUAUUAUCUUGUUUAUUUUUUUUUCUUUCUUGAAUUAUUUUUCUUUCUUCCAUUCUUUCUUGUUUAUGUGUUUCCCUUCCUGCCUACAUGAUUUUUCAUUUUCUUUCAUAAUUGAUUCUUGCUUCUUUUCUUUCUUAGUUUUUUGGUUUCUUUAUUUUCUUCCUUUCUCGCUUUUUCUUUUAUUGAUUUCUUGGUUAUUUCCUUCGUUUUUCUUUUUUUCCCCAUUAUCUUUCAUGCUUGCUUUCUUGUUUUUGUUUCUUUUGUUAUUUAAUUUUUUAAUGUUUACUUCACUCCUUUCCUCCCUUCUAACAUUUUCACUGAGUAAAUCCUAGGUAGAGCUGUCAACGUUUUUUUUGGCCCCAAGGCCAACCCUGGCCUCUUUUACAAUCAGCCAAUUUUUUUUUACCCAUGUUAGAGGAGGCUUUUCUAAAGCCCCUGGCCCCCACAGCACCAUGAAAUUGGUUGGGAUUCAAUUAGGGCCGGGUUAGCCCCUAACCCCCAAAACAUUUUGGUUUUUUUCGAGAUAUUCCCGUUUGCUCUGAAGAAACACUUCUCUGCAUGCUGGAACGCUGGACUAUUGCCAUUUAUCCUUGUAUACGAAGUCAGAGUCGGCAACAUCAACUUUGCUAGAACUGCAAAACUCAAUUCUACCCUUUUCUUAAUCACCCUCUUGCUUGUCUAUUUCACACUGCCCAUUUUGGAGGUAUGCACUUCGUUUCUCAAGAAAUCAUGAAAUUAUGUUUUGAAAUUAUAAAUUCAGUUUACUUUCUUAUCUUUUUAUCUACCUGUUCAUGAACAUGUUUAAUUUAUAUUAUCUUCUUAUUCAUGAACAAAUCUCUUACUAUUUUCUUCCGAUACUGGUGAUUCAUAACCUCAUCCCCAACUCCAACUUUCAUUUCUAUGUUUCUUAUUCUUUUGAUGUUUGUUUUAUUGGGUGUUUGCCUGUUUGAUGUUAAUUUAAUUAAUUCAAUAUCUUUGCAUGUUUGUGUUUUCAAGGAUGUAGGUUCUGGGAAAGUUGUUAAAGAACUUCUUGUUCUUGAAUUUAAGUGGGUGCUUGCUUCAUCCAAAUUUUGUGUUAAAAAGUUGAAAUAAGUUUGCUAACGUUCUGUGUUUGUUUUCAUUAUGAAAGACGUUUAGUCGAUAUAGAAUAUUUGUCUUUUCUUUGUUUAAGAAGAUUCAAAACGUGUUUUUUUCCUGUCAAAAUGUGAAUGGUUGGUACCUACCUUUAUAACUAUCUCACCGGUGUUAGUGCAUUGAAUAAACUUUUGUUGGCAUCCUAUAAAUUCUGCUCUUCUUGCGUUCCCUGAUGAUAUUGACACCAUUUCAGCCGUUUUCUUUUUGGAAAUACAAGUUGAAAUGUUCUCAAGGUGUGACUUUGAAAUGUCAUUUUUUCAUUAUAAACAACUUGAAUUCUGCACCUUGAAACUUGAAAAUGUACUUUACAUUAAUUUUUCUAUGUUCUCUUAAGUAGCUUUCUUUUACUGUUUUUGUUUUGAUGCAAAUACAAAUUUAGUUCAUUGGCUUACUAUUGUGAUUUAUAAAAACAAGCUUGGGGUUAUAAGCACAUUUGGAUUGUCUUUAGUGAUAUUAUAUGAUGCCAUGUUUUUGAAUUGAUUAUUAUUUUGCAGAAUAUGAAACACAAAAGCAUUGUAAAGUAUCUUGGAUCUUGUAAGACCAAAAGUCACCUGCACAUAGUUCUUGAUUUUCCUUGCUGCACAUUGGCACAAAAAAUAAUUUUAUACGGCAUUGUAGAUUUGGUUGUCAUCCAUUAACUCUAAAGAUAGGACAGCAAAAUAUAGCAUUUGGGGGUAAAAUUCAACGCUAAAGGAAUUGUAGAUUGUUAUGAGAAAGAAUUGGAGACUCUUACUACUGGUAUUAAGCGUGAAAUUGAAUUCAAGACGAUUGAAGGAGAUUUUCAACUUUUUGAUGGAACAAGUCCACUUUACUCCUUGCUCAUUGGUAAAUCUUGAAGCUUGUGGUCUCAAAUGCCCUCUAUGUAAGUUCUUCAAGGUGCGCCCACCCUGAUCUUUACGUUGAAGGUUGGAUCAAUGUUUCAUUUUAGACUUGAAUGUUGGGUUUGAACUAACUAAAAUUGGGGUGGUUCCUAGUAUUAGAGUUAAUUAAGUUUUUCAUGAGUUAGCUAAGUUCGUGACGUAUAUCAAAUCAGUCCGUGUGUAAUACUCUUUUACAAGAUUUUUUAAUCAAUGAAUUUACAUGAACUUAGGCAGGGCUCAAGACAAUGAUUUUGUAAAUUUUCAUCCACAUUGCCACAACAUGGUUUAUCUAUUAUUCACACAGAAAGAACAAAGGCGAAAAUGGACAAGAAGGAUAGCAAGGGACAGAGUGGAGAAGGCUUUGCAAUAUUCUUACAGAACCAAAGGAUCAAUGCUGUCACAAGUGUUCAUGGGCUAUGUUUUCUCACUUCUUUUCUUCUCUUACUAAUCCAUAAUCUUUUACAAUUCAGUACAAGAUAAAAAAUCCAUAAUAUUUCUAGUUUCUUGCUUUCUUUCUUUUUGUUUCA